AUUGAACGCUGGCGGCAUGCCUUACACAUGAAAGUCGAACGGCAGCGGGGGAGAAGCUUGCUUUUCCUGCCGGCGAGUGGCGAACGGGUGAGUAAUACAUCGGAACGUGCCCUGUAGUGGGGGAUAACUAGUCGAAAGAUUAGCUAAUACCGCAUACGACCUGAGGGUGAAAGUGGGGGACCGCAAGGCCUCAUGCUAUAGGAGCGGCCGAUGUCUGAUUAGCUAGUUGGUGGGGUAAAGGCCUACCAAGGCGACGAUCAGUAGUUGGUCUGAGCGGACGAUCAGCCACACUGGGACUGAGACACGGCCCAGACUCCUACGGGAGGCAGCAGUGGGGAAUUUUGGACAAUGGGCGAAAGCCUGAUCCAGCAAUGCCGCGUGUGUGAAGAAGGCCUUCGGGUUGUAAAGCACUUUUGUCCGGAAAGAAAUGGCUCUGGUUAAUACCUGGGGUCGAUGACGGUACCGGAAGAAUAAGGACCGGCUAACUACGUGCCAGCCGCCGCAGUAA
rnacentral:rRNA from 1 species